rnacentral:rRNA from 1 species
UUACGGCCAAAUCACGUUGAAACACCGGUUUCCGUACGAUUGCCGAAGUUAAACAACGUCGAGCCUGGUCACUACCUAAAUGGGUGACCAGUUGGGAAUACCAGGUGCCGUGA